GGGGCUGACAAAGCUUAGACGGAUUAUUAACAGAUACCAAGCAUGACGAAUGAUACCGUAAGUAUUGAAUAAGUGAAGAAAAAACUUCCAAACACGUGCUUUUUGCACCUGUUUAUGCCUAAUUAAAUAAUUUAGGAUGGUCUAAGGUCGAGUUUCCAUAGAUUCUUGGAUUAUUAUAGCUUAUGGAAAUGGGAUUACCCCUGUGACGUGGGGCGAUUCGAGAUUUAGUCAUGACGUCUUUUAGGUUUGGUUCUUUGCUGCCUAAUAGAUGAGUCAAGAAUAAAAACAGAGAACUAUGCAUGUAGAAUGGUAUUAUGAAGAUUUUUCGGACCCGGAGGCAGUAUCCGGCAGCUCCACCA
rnacentral:tmRNA from 1 species